rnacentral:rRNA from 1 species
AUGUCUGACAUGGAGUCCGUGGCUACCCUUAUGGAGUCGACAAGCUUGAAGAUAGAGCAGCUUCAGCGAGCAUUUGCUGAGCUUGAGAGCCAGAGCGCUGUUACCAUGAACUUUAAAUGGAAGCAGCUCGAGGACCAUUUCCGUGGCCUUGAGCAGUCGCUCAAGAAAAAGUUUGACGAGCUGAAAAAGCAGGAGAAGGAGUUCCAGGAGACAGUCGCAAAAUCGGAGAAGAUGCUGGAGCAGCAGGAGGCUGUUGUGGUGGCUAAGGAGCUGACUUCUCUGGAAAAGCUGCAAGAGAAAAGAGAUGCUGCAUUAGCUAUGAUCUUUGGCAAGUCCAAGCUGUCGCUAAACACUAAUUAUAUCACCCCAAUCAAUAAGCCACAGAGUAAUUAUACCGUGGGUACUCUUGAUGUGAAGUGGCCCAAGCAUUCUCCCCAAGGAAAUGCGCAGAUGCAAGAUGGCAAUGCUGCUGUGAAGCCUCGUUCUGAACUUGCCAUUCUCUGUGAGGAGAUGAAUGUUAAAGGGCUUCAUAAGUUCAUAUCAGACAACAGAAAGAACUUGACGUCUAUCCGUGAGGAAAUCCCGAGUGCACUCAAGGGAGCAUCGCAACCAUAUGUCCUGGUGUUGGAUUCCUUGGAGGACUUCUAUUCUGGAGAUAAUCUGGUGUUGGAUGGAAAAAAGGAUGGAGACCUUCUGGGUGUAAGAAGGACGUGCCUAAUGUUGAUGGAGUCUCUUGUACAGUUGCAAGCUGAUGAUAUAACUGGCUUGUUGUCUGAGGGGCAAAUGUUUGCAACAAAUGUGAAAGAUCGGGCGAAAAAGAUUGCGUUUGAGUGGAAGUCCAAGUUGGACAGUCUUGACAUUGAUGCUAGCAAUGGAAACUGCCUGGAAGCACAUGCAUUUCUUCAACUGCUUGCUACCUUUGGUAUUUUUUCUGAAUUUAAUGAAGAUGAACUUUGCAAACUUCUUCCUUCUGUCAGUCGACGUCGUCAAACACCUGAGCUUUGCCGACUGCUUGGGUUGUCACAGAAGAUGCCAGGUGUCAUUGGAGUUCUGGUGGAUAGUGCAAGACCAAUUGAUGCAAUUAACUUGGCCUACGCGUUUGGACUCACUGAACAGUUUGAGCCAGUGCAAUUGCUGAAAGCAUAUCUGAGGGAGGUCAAGAAGGUGUCACAUGCCAAGAAUGGAAAAAUGUCUCCUGGAGCACAGAAUGAGAUGAAUGAGCGUGAGCUGUCUGCACUGAAAGCUGUGAUCAAGUGCGUCGAGGAGCACAAACUGGAGGAGCAAUAUCCGGUGGACCCACUUCAGAAAAGGGUGAUUCAGCUGGAGAAGGCCAAGGCAGACAAGAGGAGGGCUGUCGAAGCCGCCAAGCCACAGUCCAAGAGGCCGCGUGCCAACGGAUCGCUCUAUGCACCCCGUGUCACCAGCUUCCCCGAGAAGAGCUUCUACCAGGCAACACCAGAGAGGCACCCAUACCCUUACGAAAGGCAGUUUGUGUACGGCGCCGAGGCCCACCACCACCCUACGAUGAUGAACGCGGCUCCCUACACCAUCUCACCCGCCCACACGCCGUACUACGGUAAUGGCUACCCGGUGCAGUACCAGGUACCUUAUAUCCACUAA